UGGGGGAUCGUCUAGCGGUAGGACGCCGGGUUCUGGCCCCGGUAGCGGGGGUUCGAAUCCUCCUCCCCCAA
rnacentral:tRNA from 1 species